rnacentral:snRNA from 1 species
UCACUUACCUGGACGGGGUCAAUGGGCGAUCAAGAAGGUCCAUGGCCUAGGUUGGUGACCUCCAUUGCACUCAGGAGGGGUGCCCGCCUAAGGUCGGCCCAAGUGGUCGAGCCUACGUCAUAAUUUGUGGCAGUGGAGGCCUGCGUUCGCGCGGCCUCUGC